rnacentral:rRNA from 1 species
GACGAAGGGGGCUAGCGUUGUUCGGAAUUACUGGGCGUAAAGCGCGUGUAGGCGGUUAUCCAAGUCGGAUGUGAAAGCCUUGAGCUCAACUCAAGAAAUGCAUUCGGUACUGGGUGACUAGAGGACCGGAGAGGAUAGUGGAAUUCCCAGUGUAGUGGUGAAAUACGUAGAGAUUGGGAAGAACACCAGUGGCGAAGGCGGCUAUCUGGACGGUUUCUGACGCUAAGACGCGAAAGUGUGGGGAGCAAACAGG